AAGACCCUGGCUCAAAAAAUAAUAAAGAGACUUCAAAAUCAUAUCACCUAAGUAAUUUUUUGACAAUUUAAAUGGUGGUGGGAGUGGGGAGGAAGAACCUAACAUCAAGACAUCCACCUUGUGGAAAAAUAUGGUAAUUACAGGCCUACAUUUAUUAUACAUUGGAAGUAAAGUCAAAGUUUUUAGCUAUGUAUCUACAGUCCUUCAACAACAAAUUCAAGCUCAGAAAUGCAAAAUCCUAGUGGUACUAUUAAAACUGCUAUUACUAUAUGCUUCCAAUACCCAUUUGUCUAGUUUUUUCCAGAGACCUUUUUCUCCAUUUUUCAUAUGAAAACAUCUCAGAAGACAUUCGUAAGCAAAUGAACAUAUGAAACUGAAUAUAUGAAAAAUAUUUUCAAAAAGUAGAUUUCUAUAAAUCCCAUUUGCUUAUUUAGCUGCAAAUUUAUUUACAGUGAUGAUACUAGGAACACACUACUAGUUCAUAUUCAAACAAAAAAUGUUUGUUAGAAUGAACAACAAAGUACUGGUUAGCAGUUCCAUAGUUCUAUGAAAAUACAGCAGUAUUUUUAAAGUAAUAAAAUUUUUUUAAAAAACCUUUUCAAAGUUUUUAAUCUCAACUGUAAAUCUUAAAGAUAUAAAUGGGGAAAUUCUAAAAAUUCAGUUUUCUUACUAAGCAAUGGGAGGAAAGAAAUCUGGAUAUAUGGUAUAUAUGACAAUAAUUUAAUGUUUCAAAUUGCAGACAUGUUAUAUAUGUGUAUUAUUCCUUUCUAAAUGCAGUUUAUUAUCCCUUCUCAAAAAUACAUACACUGAAUUAAUACAAUUCAGGUGUGUUCCCUAAAAGACUGGUCUACACCACCAGUCCAUUCUCUGCUUUCCAGAUAGCCUAAUUAUAAUGGUGACACCUGAUGUGGCAGAAAGCACAAUCUCCAGAACCACCUAUCAUCUUGCUUCAAUUUUUACGGUCCAAGUUAGAUUUGUUUGUUGAUACUAUUUGCUGGUAUUUUAUUUUGCUCAAAAUUCUACUUGUUUAUUCAUAGCAUAUAUGAUUCUUCCAUACUUUAAGUUUUAAUUAGAUGAGAAACUUAUACACUAACUGUAUCUGGUUUAACUGUUAAUAGGUGAUAACAGAAUGGUUAAAGAACUGACUCCAGCAACUGUGAAGCUCCACACUAGGCACUGAACUCAGAGUUGGCAGAAUUUGUCACUGUAGACUACAAAUUUCAUGUUCAGUUAAAUGCUGUAUGAAAACCACUCCAUCUAUUAUUCAUUUAAAAGAUCUGCUGGCCUUUUAAGUUGGUGUUGGCCAUCCAUAAUACUACAAUUUGGUGGCAAUGAGAUCACUAUAGUAAUGGCUGUAGAGUUUAGUAUUUAGGUUUCUGCCUAGCUAUACUAACGUAAAAUUUCUUCUCUUCCAUGUCCUUUUCCAUGUGUACUUCUGGGACAGUUACCACCUUACAGCUCUAUUUGGUUGAGGACAAGCGGUAAACCUACACCAGGGUGUUAGAUUACAAUCCAGGUGCUUACAGCUAUAAAUAUCCCUCCGAGCACUGCUUUCAACGGAUCACAUGUUUUGGUGACUGGGAAUGUGUCUGGACAUUAUGAGACAUAAGGAAGAAGUCAGGGAUGGUGACAGGUGGGCCAGUGUGUAAGAAGAACCUCAGACACCAAUAUUUUGCUUUCACUCAACAGAUACACAGCUUCUCCAUGCUAUACUUUGUUAAAGCUUAAUUUUAGAAGAUUAAGUACUUCUCCAUUUCAAAGAUACUAUCACAAAGUUAUAAUUUCACUAG